rnacentral:rRNA from 1 species
AACGAACGCUGGCGGCGUGGAUAAGACAUGCAAGUCGAACGGGACAUUUUUAGUAGUAAUAUUAGAGAUGUUCAGUGGCGAACGGGUGCGUAACACGUGGAUACAUUCCGGAAAGCGGGGGAUAGCCCAGGGAAACUUGGAUUAAUACCGCAUGUGGUCGCAAGACUAAAGACGGGGAUCGAAAGACCUGUCACUUUCCGAUUGGUCCGCGGCCUAUCAGCUAGUUGGCGGGGUAAAAGCCCACCAAGGCGACGACGGGUAGCUGGUCUUAGAGGACGACCAGCCACACUGGAACUGAGACACGGUCCAGACACCUACGGGUGGCAGCAGUCGAGAAUCUUUCACAAUGGGGGCAACCCUGAUGGAGCGACGCCGCGUGGAGGAUAAGGUCUUCGGAUUGUAAACUCCUGUCAUGCGAGAACAAGGUUGCAGGGCUAAUACCCGUGCAAAUUGAUGGUACCGCAAGAGGAAGAGACGGCUAACUCUGUGCCAGCAGCCGCCGUAA